GGCCGCAUUGAUCGACUGGGUAACUCAUCAAGUAAUUAAGAAAACCGAGACACGCUUCCGUAUUUAAUGGCGGGCCACAACCUUCGGGUAUUCGUAUUACGGAUCAGUGGAUUACAAAGAGUUCGGGGCACUCAAAUCAUGUCAAUCGGAGUUUCAUCGCAUCAAUCAGUGCGGCUUCCCAU
rfam:Bacteroides coprosuis DSM 18011 chromosome, whole genome shotgun sequence.